GACGAACGCUGGCGGCGUGCUUAACACAUGCAAGUCGAACGGAAAGGCCCUGCUUUUGUGGGGUGCUCGCGUGGCGAACGGGUGAGUAACACGUGAGUAACCUGCCCUUGACUUUGGGAUAACUUCCUGAAACUGGGGCUAAUACCGGAUAGGAGCUCCUGCUGCAUGGUGGGGGUUGGACAGUUUCGGCGGUUGGGGAUGGACUCGCGGCUUAUCAGCUUGUUGGUGGGGUAGUGGCUUACCAAGGCUUUGACGGGUAGCCGGCCUGAGAGGGUGACCGGCCACAUUGGGACUGAGAUACGGCCCAGACUCCUACGGUAGGCAGCAGUGGGGAAUAUUGCACAAUGGGCGGAAGCCUGAUGCAGCAACGCCGCGUGCGGGAUGACGGCCUUCGGGUUGUAAACCGCUUUCGCCUGUGACGAAGCGUGAGUGACGGUAAUGGGUAAAGAAGCACCGGCUAACUACGUG
rnacentral:rRNA from 1 species